UACGGAGGGGGCUAGCGUUGUUCGGAAUUACUGGGCGUAAAGCGCACGUAGGCGGCGUUGUAAGUGUCGGGUGAAAUCCCACGGCUUAACCGUGGAACUGCUGGGUAUACUGGUUGUCUUGAGCCACUUAGGGGCGAGCGGAACAAAUGGUGGAGCGGUGAAAUGCGUAGAUAUCAUUUGGAACGCCAAUGGUGAAAACAGCUCGCUGGGAGUGUGCUGACGCUGAGACACGAAAGCCAGGGUAGCGAGCGGG
rnacentral:rRNA from 1 species